AAUCCAUAGGUUAAUGAGGCGAACCGGGGGAACUGAAACAUCUAAGUACCCCGAGGAAAAGAAAUCAACCGAGAUUCCCCCAGUAGCGGCGAGCGAACGGGGAGGAGCCCAGAGCCUGAAUCAGCAUGUGUGUUAGUGGAAGCGUCUGGAAAGGCGCGCGAUACAGGGUGACAGCCCCGUACACAAAAGCGCAUGUGCUGUGAGCUCGAUGAGUAGGGCGGGACACGUGGUAUCCUGUCUGAAUAUGGGGGGACCAUCCUCCAAGGCUAAAUACUCCUGACUGACCGAUAGUGAACCAGUACCGUGAGGGAAAGGCGAAAAGAACCCCGGCGAGGGGAGUGAAAAAGAACCUGAAACCGUGUACGUACAAGCAGUGGGAGCACCCUUUGGGUGUGACUGCGUACCUUUUGUAUAAUGGGUCAGCGACUUAUAUUCUGUAGCAAGGUUAACCGAAUAGGGGAGCCGGAGGGAAACCGAGUCUUAAUUGGGCGUUAAGUUGCAGGGUAUAGACCCGAAACCCGGUGAUCUAGCCAUGGGCAGGUUGAAGGUUGGGUAACACUAACUGGAGGACCGAACCGACUAAUGUUGAAAAAUUAGCGGAUGACCUGUGGCUGGGGGUGAAAGGCCAAUCAAACCGGGAGAUAGCUGGUUCUCCCCGAAAGCUAUUUAGGUAGCGCCUCGUGAAUUCAUCUCCGGGGGUAGAGCACUGUUUCGGCUAGGGGGCCAUCCCGGCUUACCAACCCGAUGCAAACUGCGAAUACCGGAGAAUGUUAUCACGGGAGACACACGGCGGGUGCUAACGUCCGUCGUGAAGAGGGAAACAACCCAGACCGCCAGCUAAGGUCCCAAAGUCAUGGUUAAGUGGGAAACGAUGUGGGAAGGCCCAGACAGCCAGGAUGUUGGCUUAGAAGCAGCCAUCAUUUAAAGAAAGCGUAAUAGCUCACUGGUCGAGUCGGCCUGCGCGGAAGAUGUAACGGGGCUAAACCAUGCACCGAAGCUGCGGCAGCGACACUGUGUGUUGUUGGGUAGGGGAGCGUUCUGUAAGCCUGUGAAGGUGUGUCGUGAGGCAUGCUGGAGGUAUCAGAAGUGCGAAUGCUGACAUAAGUAACGAUAAAGCGGGUGAAAAGCCCGCUCGCCGGAAGACCAAGGGUUCCUGUCCAACGUUAAUCGGGGCAGGGUGAGUCGACCCCUAAGGCGAGGCCGAAAGGCGUAGUCGAUGGGAAACGGGUUAAUAUUCCCGUACUUGGUGUUACUGCGAAGGGGGGACGGAGAAGGCUAUGUUGGCCGGGCGACGGUUGUCCCGGUUUAAGCGUGUAGGUGUGUGUUCCAGGUAAAUCCGGUUCACUUUAACACUGAGGCGUGACGACGAGGCACUACGGUGCUGAAGCAACAAAUGCCCUGCUUCCAGGAAAAGCCUCUAAGCAUCAGGUAACAUCAAAUCGUACCCCAAACCGACACAGGUGGUCAGGUAGAGAAUACCAAGGCGCUUGAGAGAACUCGGGUGAAGGAACUAGGCAAAAUGGUGCCGUAACUUCGGGAGAAGGCACGCUGACACGUAGGUGAAGUGAUUUACUCAUGGAGCUGAAGUCAGUCGAAGAUACCAGCUGGCUGCAACUGUUUAUUAAAAACACAGCACUGUGCAAACACGAAAGUGGACGUAUACGGUGUGACGCCUGCCCGGUGCCGGAAGGUUAAUUGAUGGGGUCAGCGCAAGCGAAGCUCCUGAUCGAAGCCCCGGUAAACGGCGGCCGUAACUAUAACGGUCCUAAGGUAGCGAAAUUCCUUGUCGGGUAAGUUCCGACCUGCACGAAUGGCGUAAUGAUGGCCAGGCUGUCUCCACCCGAGACUCAGUGAAAUUGAACUCGCUGUGAAGAUGCAGUGUACCCGCGGCAAGACGGAAAGACCCCGUGAACCUUUACUAUAGCUUGACACUGAACAUUGAGCCUUGAUGUGUAGGAUAGGUGGGAGGCUUUGAAGUGUGGACGCCAGUCUGCAUGGAGCCGACCUUGAAAUACCACCCUUUAAUGUUUGAUGUUCUAACGUGGACCCGUUACCCGGGUUGCGGACAGUGUCUGGUGGGUAGUUUGACUGGGGCGGUCUCCUCCUAAAGAGUAACGGAGGAGCACGAAGGUUGGCUAAUCCUGGUCGGACAUCAGGAGGUUAGUGCAAUGGCAUAAGCCAGCUUGACUGCGAGCGUGACGGCGCGAGCAGGUGCGAAAGCAGGUCAUAGUGAUCCGGUGGUUCUGAAUGGAAGGGCCAUCGCUCAACGGAUAAAAGGUACUCCGGGGAUAACAGGCUGAUACCGCCCAAGAGUUCAUAUCGACGGCGGUGUUUGGCACCUCGAUGUCGGCUCAUCACAUCCUGGGGCUGAAGUAGGUCCCAAGGGUAUGGCUGUUCGCCAUUUAAAGUGGUACGCGAGCUGGGUUUAGAACGUCGUGAGACAGUUCGGUCCCUAUCUGCCGUGGGCGCUGGAGAACUGAGGGGGGCUGCUCCUAGUACGAGAGGACCGGAGUGGACGCAUCACUGGUGUUCGGGUUGUCAUGCCAAUGGCACUGCCCGGUAGCUAAAUGCGGAAGAGAUAAGUGCUGAAAGCAUCUAAGCACGAAACUUGCCCCGAGAUGAGUUCUCCCUGAGACUUAAAGUCUCCUGAAGGAACGUUGAAGACGACGACGUUGAUAGGCCGGGUGUGUAAGCGCAGCGAUGCGUUGAGCUAACCGGUACUAAUGAACCGUGAGGC
rnacentral:rRNA from 1 species